CUGGGGUGAUCCAAGACACUCACUAGAUUGGUUACUCAGUUCACUCAAUAAAUAUAAAUUAAAUACCUGUUAUGUGCCAGAUACUGUGGGAAGCAGUGAAUAAGAUUAAUUCCAUUGUCUACCAUACUUCUAUCACAAUCUUAUUGUACAUUAGCACUACCUCUUUUUCCACCUUCUCUUCUCUUCACCUCUAGCUUCUAUCUCUUUCCUUCCUUUUUAUUCUUGUUUCUUUCCUUUUAGCUUCCACUAUUUUCCUUUUUCUUUCCCCAGUACCUUUUCUCUGAUCUUUUCCAUUAUUUUUUAUUGGCUUCAACAUUUUAAUUUAAGCCUAGUAAAAAAAAUAUACUGGUGAGAAGGCCUAUUGUCAGAAGGCCUGGUAGCAGGAGAAAAAUUUAUAGGUUAGGUCUGC
rnacentral:lncRNA from 1 species